rnacentral:rRNA from 1 species
AUGGCGGAAAAGCGGAAGGCCGACGACAACCUUAACGGGACAAGGCAUCCGGCUGCGCGGACGGACCCUACAGCCGGCGACGAACUCGCCGGUACAUCGGCGCAGGCAUCAGGGCCGACGGCGAAUCCAACCGGCGACGGCAUUGCCGGGACUUCGCAGGCGCUUGCGGGGCUGACGGCGGCGACUACAGGCUCCGCCGGCGGCUCUUCCCAGUCCGGUGGAGCUGCUCGCGGGGCCAGGGGCGGGUCGGGGUACAGGGGAUUCUCCCAGUCGCAGCCGCAUAGGAGGGCGCCGCAGAUGCCAUCUCAGGGGAUGCUCCGGCCGCCGCAGAUGCCAUCUCAGCGGAUGCUCCGGCCGCCGCGGGGCAAUCCAGCCGUUGGGAGUGCGCCCUUCCCGUACCACGCGCCGACCGGCAAUGGUUCGCUCUCCGGCCCCAGGCAGACAGGAACAGGGCAGCCGCUCGGCCACUCCGGCUCCGGCGGGCCUUCUUCGGCGAUCUCUUCCGCAAGCGCACCAGGCGCUCCAGUCAAUCCCCUCGUUCGAGCGUGCCCUCGUUGCAACAGGCCCACGAUCGUGUUUUUGGGCUUGUCGCCAUUGUGCGCGGAUUGCUUAAGCACUUUCGUCAUCAGCUACGUGCUUCCGCGGCACCCGGAGAUCCACUACGGCGGCGCCAGCUCGACCACCGCCAAUGGUCACCAGCGCCAGCUCGACCACCGCCUCCGCCAGCCUUCUUCCGCGGCGCUGCCACGGGCACGGGCUGCCGUCGGCCCACUCAGAAGGGCACCGACUGAUGGCUGGUGCAAUAAUUGCCUAGCGCUAACCAGGGGGGUUUUGGGCUCGUCGCCCUUGUGCGAUGUUUGCUACAACCGCCUCUUCGUCGCCGGCGACGUGCCUCCGCAGCACGCGCAGACCGGCGGCCACGUGCUUCCGAGUCCGGUCCCCAGCUACGCCUACGCGGGUGUGCCACGGGGGCCAGUCCCUGCCGGUGAGCAGCAGUACCGGGCUGCGGCCAUUGGGCCUUCUUCCACCUCGAGCUCGGCCGUGGGUUCGGGCCCGAUCUGCCAGGCUUGUGGCCACCCCUUCGGCACCGGCAACAGGGCGUGCAGGCUUUGGCGCCUCCACGGUCCGCCACCGCCACCGCCAGGGCUCGGCUAG